rfam:Parcubacteria bacterium GW2011_GWC2_32_10 TR22_C0024, whole genome shotgun sequence.
GGAGGAGUCCUAUAGCGGCUAUUAGAACAGUCUUGAAAACUGUGACCUCGUAAGGGGUUCGUGGGUUCGAGUCCCACCUCCUCCG